AGGAGCCAGAACACACCUAACGUCCGACAUGCUCACACAUCGCCUGCUGCUCUCAUUUUAAUUUGGUUACAGAAAGCAGUGAAUCAGAAAUAGCAAACGAUUGUGAAACUUUUGAAAAUUGCGCAGUGGGAAUUAGGCAAAGGGAAAUACUGCACUGCUGUGGUAAAGGAGCUUGAAAAUGGGGUUUCAAAUCACAUUGGAAAAAAAGAAUUUCACAUUUUGUUAUUGAUUUUUUUUUUUGGCCAGGUAACCCUACAGACCAGAAACCACAACUGGAUAAAAGGCAAUGUACCGUAGAUCAAUGCAAUCAAUGUGUUGCUUUUUCCUCCACCACUUGUUGCAAGACAGAAAUCAUCAAGUAAAGACAUUAUUAAAAAAUGAAUGCUAAUAGAAAAUGCCAUACACCUUCUAUGCUCGUUACAAUGGUGACUAGCAUCGGGGUCCACUGCCACAC